GUCUUAAUUGGGCGUUAAGUUGCAGGGUAUAGACCCGAAACCCGGUGAUCUAGCCAUGGGCAGGUUGAAGGUUGGGUAACACUAACUGGAGGACCGAACCGACUAAUGUUGAAAAAUUAGCGGAUGACCUGUGGCUGGGGGUGAAAGGCCAAUCAAACCGGGAGAUAGCUGGUUCUCCCCGAAAGCUAUUUAGGUAGCGCCUCGUGAAUUCAUCUCCGGGGGUAGAGCACUGUUUCGGCUAGGGGGCCAUCCCGGCUUACCAACCCGAUGCAAACUGCGAAUACCGGAGAAUGUUAUCACGGGAGACACACGGCGGGUGCUAACGUCCGUCGUGAAGAGGGAAACAACCCAGACCGCCAGCUAAGGUCCCAAAGUCAUGGUUAAGUGGGAAACGAUGUGGGAAGGCCCAGACAGCCAGGAUGUUGGCUUAGAAGCAGCCAUCAUUUAAAGAAAGCGUAAUAGCUCACUGGUCGAGUCGGCCUGCGCGGAAGAUGUAACGGGGCUAAACCAUGCACCGAAGCUGCGGCAGCGAACGUAUCACUUAAAGCGAUUCAGCGGGUUACGAUUGACGGAGCGAAGCGACGUCAAAGCGUAUACAAAGUCGAGUCGGUUUAAGGAUACGUUCGUUGGGUAGGGGAGCGUUC
rnacentral:rRNA from 1 species